rnacentral:tRNA from 1 species
GCAGUGUGGUUCAGUGGUAGAAUUUUUACCUUCCAUGCUGGAGACCUAGGUUCUACUCCUGGCCGCUGCA